UCCAGCAGCAGUAUCAUCCUGCAACCCACAGCUGGCAGCCCACUGAACCUCAGCAGUGUGAGCCUGGUCAGUACCUGGAUGGGAGACCUCCUGGGAGAGCUGAGGCUGCUGCUGGAA
rnacentral:rRNA from 1 species